UUCGACUUAGGAAUCCCGUACAACUUCAGAUAAGUUAAGAUAAGGUAGGAAAGCUACAAGCCAGUCUUAAUUCCAGCAGACUAAGAUUCAGUUUCAAGUCUCUUAGCCUUGACUUUCGAUGAAUGAGAAGUCUAGUUAGGCAGUGAAAACCCUGGGAAGUCAGGAAGUUCAAGUUAGAGGGCAUAUUCAUAUGAAAUAACAUAUGAUGAGACUGGUCAAUCUUUCUCAUUGCUUGACUAAAGAAUG
rnacentral:lncRNA from 1 species